rnacentral:rRNA from 1 species
AGCGAACGCUGGCGGCAGGCUUAACACAUGCAAGUCGAGCGGGCACUUCGGUGUCAGCGGCAGACGGGUGAGUAACACGUGGGAACGUACUCUUCGGUUCGGAAUAACGCUGGGAAACUAGCGCUAAUACCGGAUACGCCCUUUUGGGGAAAGGUUUACUGCCGAAGGAUCGGCCCGCGUCUGAUUAGCUAGUUGGUGGGGUAAUGGCCUACCAAGGCGACGAUCAGUAGCUGGUCUGAGAGGAUGAUCAGCCACACUGGGACUGAGACACGGCCCAGACUCCUACGGGAGGCAGCAGUGGGGAAUAUUGGACAAUGGGCGCAAGCCUGAUCCAGCCAUGCCGCGUGAGUGAUGAAGGCCUUAGGGUUGUAAAGCUCUUUUGUCCGGGACGAUAAUGACGGUACCGGAAGAAUAAGCCCCGGCUAACUUCGUG